rnacentral:rRNA from 1 species
CGGGGGCAGAGUGACAGGUGGUGCAUGGUUGUCGUCAGCUCGUGUCGUGAGAUGUUGGGUUAAGUCCCGCAACGAGCGCAACCCUUGAUCUUAGUUGCCAGCAUUCAGUUGGGCACUCUAAGGUGACUGCCGGUGACAAACCGGAGGAAGGUGGGGAUGACGUCAAAUCAUCAUGCCCCUUAUGACCUGGGCUACACACGUGCUACAAUGGGCAGAACAAAGGGCAGCGAAGCCGCGAGGCUAAGCCAAUCCCACAAAUCUGUUCUCAGUUCGGAUCGCAGUCUGCAACUCGACUGCGUGAAGCUGGAAUCGCUAGUAAUCGCGGAUCAGCAUGCCGCGGUGAAUACGUUCCCGGGCCUUGUACACACCGCCCGUCACACCACGAGAGUUUGUAACACCCGAAGUCGGUGAGGU